GACGAACGCUGGCGGCGUGCUUAACACAUGCCAGUCGAACGGAAAGGCCCUGCUUUUGUGGGGUGCUCGAGUGGCGAACGGGUGAGUAACACGUGAGUAACCUGCCCUUGACUUUGGGAUAACUUCAGGAAACUGGGGCUAAUACCGGAUAGGAGCUCCUGCUGCAUGGUGGGGGUUGGAAAGUUUCGGCGGUUGGGGAUGGACUCGCGGCUUAUCAGCUUGUUGGUGGGGUAGUGGCUUACCAAGGCUGUGACGGGUAGCCGGCCUGAGAGGGUGACCGGGCACAUUGGGACUGAGAUACGGCCCAGACGCCUACGGGAGGCAGCAGUGGGGAAUAUUGCACAAUGGGCGGAAGCCUGAUGCAGCAACGCCGCGUGCGGGAUGACGGCCUUCGGGUUGUAAACCGCUUUCGCCUGUGACGAAGCGUGAGUGACGGUAAUGGGUAAAGAAGCACCGGCUAACUACGUG
rnacentral:rRNA from 1 species